UUAAAUAAAUCAAAACUUUCAACAACGGAUCUCUUGGUUCUGGCAUCGAUGAAGAACGCAGCGAAAUGCGAUAAGUAAUGUGAAUUGCAGAAUUCAGUGAAUCAUCGAAUCUUUGAACGCACAUUGCGCCCCUCGGUAUUCCGGGGGGCAUGCCUGUUC
rnacentral:rRNA from 1 species